AACGGAUCUUGGCAUUACAGCAAGGAAAGCCGUGGAUACUGAAGCUUAUUGCUAUGUCUUGCCUCUUUUUGGCGGCGAAGAUGAUGAAAUCGGAGUUUUCCUUGAUCGAUUUUCAGAGGGGAGAAGGUUUCAUCUUCAAUACAUAGUCUAUACAGAGAAUGGAACUCCUGAUUCUCGGAACUCUUAAGUGGCGAAUGCGCUCAAUAACUCCUUUCGCAUUCGUGCAUUUCUUCCUGUCUUUAUUCAUGCUGAAAGAUCCGUCACUGAGAGAUGCUCUCAAAACCAGAGAUAGAGAUCAUCUUUAAAGCUCAAAAUGAAAUGAAGUUUUUUAUUUCAAACCAUCGAUAAUAGCCAGCUUCUGCGCUUCUCUCUGCUUCUC